rnacentral:rRNA from 1 species
GACAGAGGGUGCAAACGUUGUUCGGAAUUACUGGGCGUAAAGCGCGUGUAGGCGGUUCGGAAAGUCGGGUGUGAAAGCCCUGGGCUCAACCCAGGAAGUGCACUCGAAACUCCCGAGCUAGAGUCCUGGAGAGGAAGGCGGAAUUCUCGGUGUAGAGGUGAAAUUCGUAGAUAUCGAGAGGAACAUCGGUGGCGAAGGCGGCCUUCUGGACAGCGACUGACGCUGAGACGCGAAAGCGUGGGGAGCAAACAGG